rnacentral:lncRNA from 1 species
AUACAUGAUACAUGAACAUAGCUACACAAACAAACCAUAAUUCCUGGGCCAUGCAUGCUUAGUGCUGCUUCCCUUCCGGACUAUUCGAAAUUACUACUAUGCCCCUCCCUCCCUUUUAUCAUAUAGAUCUUACUUCCCUACCGGUUGCACUUUCUGUUGUGUUGGAUUAUGGCUUUGAGGUAUGGAGCUCGCAAGUUGUCUCAUCCAAUUCUCACUGUAAGUUGAAAAAUCUUCAAUCCUCCUUGAAUCACAUCUGAUGUUCAUGAUUUUAGUGUUAGUCAUUAAUUCUUUGUAAGAAAUUGGAGGCCCUGUGAUCUUAUGCACCUAAUCCUUUGAAUUUGAAGUAACUUACCUAUCAAUAUGUGCACACAGAAGGGUUGGCUUAAAAGGCUUCGGUGCCCUAAUCCCAGUACUAAACCAAAACAAAGCAGGAAAAAAUGACUACAUAGUGAAAUUUAAUACAUUUGUAGCUCAUACCUGUUCUUUAAGAAACAAGUAAUAUAAAUGCAUGUCUCGAUUCUCGAUAUAACUUCGUCUGUUAACAGAAUCUAUUAGAUAAAAGGGCUGAUAGUCUGAGUAGUUCUAUAUGUGUUAAGAUAAGAGUGUUGUAAUCUUAGCUUAGAGCUGGAAUGGUUAUACAGAUGUUGAUGACAUCUCUAAUUCACUAAACCAACUAAGCAGCUAGCUAUAAAUACUAAACUGCACAAUCCCUCUAUUAUUUAUUCAUUAUACUAACUGUUCUAAGGUUCAGUUUCUCUCUAUUUCUUUAUCAUCUAAAUUUCCUUAUUCCUUGUCGGAUCCAUGCUGAUGUUCUAGUUUCCAAUGUAAAUAAAAGUUAUUGUUGUUUCACAUAACUGUACUGUUCAACGCAGUGAAAUUUAACAUAAGUGGCCAGUCUAUGCAACUGAGCUCAUAGCCUAAUUUUCCAUCAUAUCUAAAAUAUAAAAUUUCACUCAUCGUGGGUUUAUUAAGGCUUGUACAGAUUUUCAAUCUUGGGCUUCAACUACUGUGGUACUUUCUGCAAAUAAUUGUCAGCAUAUGGUAUUUCAUAUCAGCCAUGGCUAAUUUAUUUGAAAGCUAUGUCAUCUCUUAUGGGUUAUUGAAGAAAUACAAGUCUCUUCGUUUAGAAAACCUCCGGUACCUAGCCAUUGUGAUAGAAAGUGAAGAUGCUCAUCAGACUUCAAAAGUUGUUAAGCUUUUACGGUGGCUGGACUCCAUCGGUGUAAAGAAUGUAUGCCUCUAUGACAUGAAUGGAGUGCUGAAGAAGUCCAAGGAAGCCAUAUUCCAAAAAUUGAAGAAUGCAAGAUCCAUAGAGGUGCCAUAUACAUUUUCUCAAUAUAAGAUUAACUUCCCUCCUGGUUUAUGAUAUUAACUUGCUUCUGAACAAACAGUGCAUCUUAUGUGUUUUCCAUCUUAAUCACAUGGUUUUGGUGAGUUUAUAUUUAAUACAUCUUAAUGAUAGGGGGAGAGAAACACAAGUCAGCUAGAAGGUUAGUUUUAGGUGUCUGGAUGGUAGGUUGAAAGUGGGAUUGAGAGAAAGUAAACAUGAAAAAAUACCUGCGAUCCCACAGUAAAAAUUCUCUGCAAAGAUGAGUUGACAAGGGAGAGAAAACACAUUGUACAGCAGCCAAGUUUGUUUUUCUUUUUCGUCUAUAACUACCCACUUUGAUAUUAAAAAAACUGUUCUAUUUGCUUUUAAAAAAAGUUCCUUUUCUUCUUCCUCAUUUAAAUAAGGGGAAAUAAAAAAUAACAAUCUUCUUAUUUACUUAUUAUCAUUUUCUUCACACAUCCAAAACAUGUUGGUAAGAAGUAUGGUUAAAUCACUUAAAUGGCUCAUUCGGUGGCCAUCACUGUCAAGCCUCAAUUGUCAACAGUAAGUUCUACUAUUUUAACACCUGUUUAAUCUGAUCUAGCAUUAACUCAGUGCAGGAAACUAAUGAAGCUGACACAAAACAUGUUCCAGAUCACAUGACUUUAGAAAUUGUU